AUUGAACGCUGGCGGCAGGCCUAACACAUGCAAGUCGAGCGGAGCGGCGGACGGGUGAGUAAUGCCUAGGAAUCUGCCUGGUAGUGGGGGAUAAGGUCCGGAAACGGGCGCUAAUAUCGCAUACUAUUAGCUUAGCCUAGGUCGGAUUGGCUAGUUGGUGGGGUAAAGGCCUACCAAGGCGCCGAUCCGUAACUGGUCUGAGAGGCUGAUCAGUCACACUGGAACUGAGAAACGGUCCAAACCCCUACGGGAGGCAGCAGUGGGGAAUAUUGGACAAUGGGCGAAAGCCGGCUCCAGCCAUGCCGGGUGUGUGAAGAAGGUCUUCGGAUUGUAAAGCACUUUAAGUUGGGAGGCGUUACCAACAGAAUAAGCACCGGCUAACUUCGUGCCAGCAGCCGCGGUAAUAC
rnacentral:rRNA from 1 species